GGAGCGCGCUGGGCGCGCGCUGCACCAGCUGUUGACUUCAUUCAGCGCUACUACAGCCUCGGUGCCCUUGGGCACGAGGGUCGCCCGCACGGGCGGAUCGCCGGAAGGCGGUUGUGGGGCUUGCAGCCCCGGACUCGGCACUCCCUCUAGCGAGGGAAUACGAUCUUUGACGUUCUUAAGUAAAGCAGAGCAGGCGAGCGCGGGAGCGCUUGCCAAGAGCAAGCAAGAAUAGCGAAUGCCAAAACCAGCAAUGGUUUUGGACAAACAAUACUACG
rnacentral:misc_RNA from 1 species